rnacentral:rRNA from 1 species
UGGUGGGUUGCCUUGUCAGGUUGAUUCCGGUAACGAACGAGACCUCAGCCUGCUAAAUAGUCCUAGUUGCUUUUGCAGCUAGCUGACUUCUUAGAGGGACUAUUGGCGUUUAGUCAAUGGAAGUAUGAGGCAAUAACA